UGGUCCAAAGGUCGGUCAUGCAAUGUGCAUCACUUUAAUUGGCACUUGUCCACUCCAACAAAGAAAAAAAAAGAAAAAAAAAUAUGAAUCUUGGGUAUCAUUUGAGGUGGUGCUUCCCAAGGUGUGCAGAGACGCACAACAAAAGGGUUACUAUAGUAUCCUUUUGUUCUGCUUUCUUCCAAAAAGUGUCGAGUGACGUAAAAACGGAUUACUGUGCGUAUCAUCGUUAUCAGAUGCAUCCGGUGCCAAAUCUAGGAAAAGCAACCUUGAAUUGAAGUCAUCGAGAUUUUAUAGUCUGACAUCUGGAAUUUAAAUUUCUCAACAAGGGCGUCAGAUCCAACAACGUCCCCCAGUUGCUUAACUGCAUCUUUAUCCGAAAUAGAUCCUCUACCAAAGAUCUGCCUGCAGAAUUGGAUUUGAUGUAUUCGCCUAGUGCACUCAGUCACAAAUCUGAACUGUUAAAUGAAGAUCGGACAGUUUAUUUUUUGACUGUUUAUUUUAAAUCUGAUCAUAUGAGUUAAAAUAUGAUCCGUCUAAUCUUCAUUAGACAGUCAUCAAAUUUUGACUGCAGAGAAUUCGGGUCUGUCUCUGCAGCCGAAAAUUGCAAAAAGCAAAAAAAAGAAAGAGAAAUAAAGAAAAGUUAGAAAGAGAUAGAGAGGAUGUAGAAGUGCAGCAGAAAGGUUGGUUGCUGCAGAAGAUCCAUGUCCAUGUAGAAGUUCUUGUUGGGAAAUUCAAAUUUCGAAUGUCAGAUUAUAAAACAUUGGUGACUUCAAAAUGUGAGUCGAAAAAAUCCUAUGUUUUGGUUCCUCAAACAGAUUAGCACGUAAGCAUAUAUAACACUUUUUUGUCUGAGUUUAUUUGCUUGCUAGUACUGAAAUGCAGGUUGUGAGAGUGAUUGGAAGAUUGGGAUCAAGAAAUUGCCACAAGGGUGAUAAAGCGGGUCAACCCGCCUCCUCUGCCUAAAGCAAGGUGGGAUGAGUUAACCCAUCAUGAAAGUAGGUUGCAAAAGACUCUUCCUGUUUAGAUUUUUUUUGUCAACAAAUGUUAGAUGUUAUUUGUUAGUUUUUUAUUAGCGGGAGAACCGAAUCUGAGAUUUUUUUUUUCUUUUAUUCUCUUUUUAUCACCCAACUAACCUUAUAAUUCCAUACUCACCCCGUUUAGAUGAUGAGAAAUGAAUUAGAUUUCAUGAAUUUGACUAAUGUCUAGUAGCAUUGUACAAUAACUAUUAUCAGCAAUGGCCUUAAAGGACAAGUUAGGCUCCAUGAAUUUGUCUGAUGUUUUCUUUCAGGCCACUUAAUGCUAUAAAUCGUGAUGGCACUUUAUCCGACA